rnacentral:rRNA from 1 species
UACGUAGGGGGCAAGCGUUAUCCGGAUUUACUGGGUGUAAAGGGUGCGUAGGUGGUAGGGCAAGUCAGAUGUGAAAGCCCGGGGCUCAACCCCGGUAUUGCAUUUGAAACUGUCCCACUAGAGUGCCGGAGAGGUAAGUGGAAUUCCUAGUGUAGCGGUGAAAUGCGUAGAUAUUAGGAGGAACACCAGUGGCGAAGGCGGCUUACUGGACGGUAACUGACACUGAGGCACGAAAGCGUGGGGAGCAAAC